ACUCAAAUGAAUUGACGGGGACCCGCACAAGCGGUGGAGUAUGUGGCUUAAUUCGAUGCAACGCGAAGAACCUUACCUGGGCUUGACAUGCAUCUCUAAUCGCGUGAAAGCGCGUGAGUGUAGCAAUACACGAUUUGCACAGGUGCUGCAUGGCUGUCGUCAGCUCGUGUCGUGAGAUGUUGGGUUAAGUCCCGCAACGAGCGCAACCCCCGUGAUUUGUUGCCACCGGCUUACGCCGCGCACUCAAAUCAGACUGCCCAGAUAAACUGGGAGGAAGGUGGGGAUGACGUCAAGUCCGUAUGGCCCUUACGCCCAGGGCUGCACACGUACUACAAUGUCCAAUACAGCAUGUUCCGAUCCCGCAAGGGCUAGGCAAUCAGCAAAGUUGGACUCAGUUCAGAUUGUGGGCUGCAACUCGCCCGCAUGAAGCUGGAAUCGCUAGUAAUGGCGCAUCAGCUACGGCGCCGUGAAUACGUUCCCGGGUCUUGCACACACCGCCCGU
rnacentral:rRNA from 1 species